UUUCUACUUUCUCCGUUCAACAAAAUAUGUCUCAACUUUAACUAAAUUUGAAUGUACAUAUAUACUAAGUCAUGUUUACAUAGAUUCAAAUUUUGACAAACUUGAGACAUGUUUUGUUGGACGUAGAGAGUAAUCA
rfam:Brachypodium distachyon strain Bd21 chromosome 4, whole genome shotgun sequence.